AGACAACUGGCUGAGUGGUUAAGGCGAAGGACUGCUAAUUCUUUGAGCUCUGCAUGUAUGGGUUUGAGUCCCAUCCUUGUUCA
rnacentral:tRNA from 1 species